GACGAACGCUGGCGGCGUGCUUAACACAUGCAAGUCGAACGGAAAGGCCCUGCUUUUGUGGGGUGCUCGAGUGGCGAACGGGUGAGUAACACGUGAGUAACCUGCCCUUGACUUUGGGAUAACUUCAGGAAACUGGGGCUAAUACCGGAUAGGAGCUCCUGCUGCAUGGUGGGGGUUGGAAAGUUUCGGCGGUUGGGGAUGGACUGGCGGCUUAUCAGCUUGUUGGUGGGGUAGUGGCUUACCAAGGCUUUGACGGGUAGCCGGCCUGAGAGGGUGACCGGCCAAAUUGGGACUGAGAUACGGCCCAGACUCCUACGGGAGGCAGCAGUGGGGAAUAUUGCACAAUGGGCGGAAGCCUGAUGCAGCAACGCCGCGUGCGGGAUGACGGCCUUCGGGUUGUAAACCGCUUUCGCCUGUGACGAAGCGUGAGUGACGGUAAUGGGUAAAGAAGCACCGGCUAACUACGUG
rnacentral:rRNA from 1 species